rnacentral:rRNA from 1 species
UACAGAGGGUGCGAGCGUUAAUCGGAAUUACUGGGCGUAAAGCGCGCGUAGGCGGCUUUGCAAGUCGGGUGUGAAAUCCCCAGGCUUAACCUGGGAACUGCAUUCGAGACUGCAUUGCUAGAGUAUGGGAGAGGGAAGUGGAAUUUCCGGUGUAGCGGUGAAAUGCGUAGAUAUCGGAAGGAACAUCAGUGGCGAAAGCGACUUCCUGGACCAAUACUGACGCGCAUGUGCGAAAGCGUGGGGAGCAAACAGG